UUUCUUCUAUUUUUUGCCCAUGGAGGGUUUUUUAUUUUUUGAGUUUUUCCUUUUUCUGUCCUGUGAGGGUUUCAGGACAGAAGAUGUUGCAGACUGUAUCAAGUAGUGCAGGAAAUACCACACCAUGGAAAAAGUACUACAGGAAGUAUUCAGUGUCCACAACUAAGAUAUGGUUAUUUAAAUAACCUUGUGUGUAAUAACAUAUAUUGUGUGAGCUGUAAUAUGAGACUCCUACAGGAAGUGCUGCCAUGCUGGUUGUUACCGUAAAGUCUCUGGAUGCCCCACACGUCGUCUUGGGCGACGUUUCUCUGGCCCGUGUAGGUGGCGUUGGGAUGCAUCAGAGCCUGAGGAUGUCUGGAGUGCCACAGACCCAGAGCAUGACCGAUCUCAUGAGCUGCCACCUGGACCAGCUGAACCUGGACUUGCCGAGGAUCCAGAACUCGUGGUUGUCAAAAUGGAUUUCUCCUCGCGGGCGGCAGGAAGGCGUGAGCCAGCUCACCAUUCAGACCAUCAAAACACGGGUGGAGAGGAGACCACCAGCAGUCCGUGUGGUUGAAGGUCAGCGGAGAGACGUCGCUCCACUUGGUAAAGGCGAUGCUGAUGGCCUUCCUGGUGUCCUCAACAUUCAGGGUGUUUGGAAACGCU